UGAAGAGCUUCAGACUCCAGGCAACACUCCAGAGCUUCUGGGCCUCAGAUUGAACUGUGAGCUCAUGCUUCCUUGCCAACAGGAAGAUAAUAAAGGCCUAUAAUUUGUCAGUAGGAACGAUACUGGUCAAAGGAAAGAUAACAAAUGAGAAACUCCUGCUUGAAGGAAACUGUGGCAAUGAUAACAGUCUGCUGCUAGAGGACAUUUCUGGUCUUUUCAACAAAAGCCAUGUCAGUUUUGCUACAUAUGCAGGUUUUCAGGUGAGGGCUGAGGCGGCUGGACUGAGGUGAAGUGGCCUGGCCUGUUGUUCCCAGGGCCCUUCUUCUUCUCCUUGAAGACAGGAGUGACAUCUGCCUUUCCCCAGUGCUUAAGAACAUCCCCACAUCACAACAUGUCAAAGACAAUAAAAAGUGGCCCCAGACUGCCAUCAGCCAGUUCCCACUGCACUUGUAGGUGCACUCCAUCAGGUUCCAUGGACCUCUGUGUGUCUGCUUCGAGAGGGAGAGCUUCAGCUUCAAAGCAGCUCCCACAGGGAGAUUUUCCAGACCUUUCUUCAAAAUGGAUCAAAUCACUUUGCCUUGGAAGUGGCCAGCUAAACUCCUGGGAGUGUACUCAAAGUCCUGGCAGUGAAUUUGUGAGGCUGGCUGUUGGGAUAAGAUGCCUGAUUCACAGGAAUAAAGGGGAAGUGGAAUUCAAGGGAGGCAUAACCAUAAUGAAACUCUUGUUUAUUGUGCUUGUGUCAGUGGGGAGAAGGGAGGAGCUGUGCACAAUUUGCAGGUUUUAAUGAAAUUCUACUCUUCUAAGGCUAGCAUGAGUCAUUUUUUGUUUGUGUCAUCUGAGCAUCCUUUUUGGGUGUGAAGUUUGACCACACUGCCUCCUGAGUGGAUUUACUCCUCAGUCUCUUCAGGAACUGACAGACUCAGAGCAGAAAUAGCUUAAUUUGAGCUCAUGUGCUCACAGAGCUUGUUUAGACUGAGAGGUGUGUCCACCGUGGAAAUUAUUUACACAUAAAACCACACAGAUUUUCAUUUUUUUCUUUUGCUAUUACUACAGUAAUAUUGCUAAUGUUCAUUUCUUCCUAAAAAUGAAAGCUUCAUUUGAGGAUGUUUCUCACAUACACACUGAUCUAAUGAUUUCUGGGAUCAUUGAUUCGUAGCAUUCAUU